UACAGAGGUCUCAAGCGUUGUUCGGAUUCAUUGGGCGUAAAGGGUGCGUAGGUGGCGGGGUAAGUCAGGUGUGAAAUCGUCGGGCCUCAACCCCGAACUGCACUUGAUACUGCCUUGCUCGAGUACUGGAGAGGAGAUUGGAAUUUACGGUGUAGCAGUGAAAUGCGUAGAUAUCGUAAGGAAGACCAGUGGCGAAGGCGAAUCUCUGGACAGUUACUGACACUGAGGCACGAAGGCCAGGGGAGCAAACAGG
rnacentral:rRNA from 1 species